AAGUUGCAGUGUAAAGCACCAGUGUAGCCAUAGCCUGAGUCAGUUUCCCAGAGCUGAAGAAGAGCUUGGUGUAGCUGAAAGCUUGUCUCUCUCAUCAACGUGAGUUGGUCCAAUAAAAGCUAUCACCUCACCCGCCCCGUCUCUCGGCUGCACCAAACACAACGGCAGGGAACCCGGGUGCCGGUGUUGCCAACUCUCAUGAGUCUCAGGAUAAUUAGUGCUUUUCUUAAAGCCCCAGCUCCUGGAGUCAGGUGGAAGUGUGAUGAUUUCAGCUUUCAUUCUUAAAGAAAAAAUGUUUAAAGACAGUCCGAAAGGUCCAGACUGGGCAGGGAUGCAGUACAACCACACGCGUCAGAGCCAGGUCAGCCACAAGAAGACCCACAGGUAAUGGGAGAUUCACCCACCAGGGAAUGGGCUGUUUUAUUACCUAGCUCCAGUGCUACCAGGCAUGGCGGACAACCUACUUUGUGCGGAGGGGGUAAUACCACGGAGGCUCUAUUUGAAAAAUCAGAGGGAGUUUUGCCCUUGACUUCAACAGGGCUGUUUUAGCCCUUGCUCAAUCUCAGCUCCUGCCAUGACAGUGCAAGUGUGUGGUUUGAAGAGCGCCCGAGAUUUGCUUGAACCAGCCCUGCCAGCUGUAACGAAAAACAUGCAGAGACUGUAUCCACUCAGGGGAGACACUUGGUGCUUCAGGACAGCUGGUGACUUGUGACCUUCGCUCUCUGACUCAGAUGCACCUGAGAUGUGGUUUCCAGCGCCCUCUGCUGGAUGGACUCAGUACAAACACCACCCACUCCAGCAUGGGUUGGCUCUGGGAUCUGCACUGGUUCCAGUAUGUUUCCAAGGGGAAUGGUUUUAAAGCCCUCGAUCAUUCGGGACCUGGUUGCCUGCGUCUCUCCCCAUGCAGCUGCCCUCGGUACGGGCACUUGAGAAAGAAAAAAAAAACAAAAAAUGUCAGGCUUUUGUUAGAGAAGCCAAAGAGGGCACUUGGAACUCAGCCCCUCUCCCUGGCCUCAGGCGGUCCCUUGGAAGUACACUGGCCCUUUACGACCUUGCUCUCCUAACCUUCUAGUUCAGUGGCUCUCAGCCUUUGUAGACUACUGUCCCCCUUUCAGAAGUCUGAUCUGCUUUGCCUACCCCCACGCUUCACCUCACUUAAAAACGACUUGCUUACAAAGUCAGACAUAAAAAUACCAAAGUGUCACAGCCACACUAUUACUAUACAAACCCGGGGUGUGAGUUCCAAGCUGCUUUGACCCACAGAAUCCACGUUCAUACCUAAAAAUAGAUCCUUCUUUCUCAAAUAUUUCUACAUACCGGGUACGUUUUCCUUUAUAUCCCUUCUCAGUUUGCUAAACUCACGGCUGCUGCCUGUAUUUUAAUAUACCUUAGGGGGGAGGGAUAGCUCAGUGGUUUGAGCAUUGGCCUGCUAAACCCACAGUUGUGAGUUCAAUCCUUGAGGGGGCCACUUGGGGAUCUGGGGCAAAAUCAGUACUUGGUCCUGCUAGUGAAGGCAGGGGGCUGGACUCAAUGACCUUUCAAGGUCCCGUUCAGUUCUAGGAGAUGGGAUAUCUCCAUUAAUUGCUUGUUUCUUUUCUUACCUUAAUACAGUUAAUCUCUCUUGGCUCAGGUCUCCCUACCUUCCUAGGUUGCUCUUCAUCCCCCUUCCCCCACCUCUCCUCACUUCUGCUCUCUCUCUUUGCUUAAGUUAUUGUUUUUCAAAAUAUAAAGCAAUUUAAAACAGAACAAAACAACAAACCAAGGUAAAAACUUUACUUUAAAUAAAUCCCGUAAAUUAAUUAUUUUAGCCCUUCAGAAAUGCAACAGCUGGAAUUACUCCUAACUUUCUUAAAGAUAUGGUUGCCAAGCAACAAAAAUGCAGACUCUGCUUCUAAUCCUAACCACUAACUAAUCUUUGAAACAUGGGCUUUCCUUAUUACCACAUAGCAAAGUUUUAAAAUAAAGUUAAUAUAAAGUAAUACAAAA